rnacentral:rRNA from 1 species
AUGGGCGAAAGCCUGAUGCAGCGACGCCGCGUGAGGGAUGACGGCCUUCGGGUUGUAAACCUCUUUCAGCAGGGACGAAGCGAAAGUGACGGUACCUGCAGAAGAAGCACCGGCUAACUACGUGCCAGCAGCCGCGGUAAUACGUAGGGUGCAAGUGUUGUCCGGAAUUACUGGGCGUAAAGAGUUCGUAGGCGGUUUGUCGCGUCGUUUGUGAAAACUCACAGCUCAACUGUGAGCCUGCAGGCGAUACGGGCAGACUUGAGUACUGCAGGGGAGACUGGAAUUCCUGGUGUAGCGGUGAAAUGCGCAGAUAUCAGGAGGAACACCGGUGGUGAAGGCGGGUCUCUGGGCAGUAACUGACGCUGAGGAACGAAAGCGUGGGUAGCAAACAGGAUUAGAUACCCUGGUAGUCCACGCCGUAAACGGUGGGCGCUAGGUGUGGGUUCCUUCCACGGGAUCUGUGCCGUAGCUAACGCAUUAAGCGCCCCGCCUGGGGAGUACGGCCGCAAGGCUAAAACUCAAAGGAAUUGACGGGG